AAUACGAAGUUAUUUUCUCCUCUUACCUUUAGAACGCGGUGCAUUCUAUCUUGCUUUUCAUUUGAAAACUGCAGGGACAUGAAGUAGCCAAAUGAAACAGCGAGGAAAGACUUAGUGUGUAAAUGUCUGUUUUGCAGAUGAAAAUGUUCUAUUUCUUAAAUAAGGGCCAGAUGAUUCUCCUUCUGUCUGAAUUACUUGAUUCUGUAGAAAGCAAACAGGUGUUUUUCUUCUGCUCGAUUUUCUAUUCCUUUUUAAUAGUUGCCAAAUGGAUGGAAAUUUGGACUGCAAAGGAAUUUAACAUCAGGUUGCAUGUGUACAGUGCUAUAAAAAUUAAAAUGAAUAACACUCCUUUUGAACAGUAGUAAAGACAAAGAGUAAUGAUCCUAUCUGCUGGAUACGUUGAUAUGUCAAAUACUGAGAAAUAUGGUAGAAUAAUAACUGGAUUUUUGAAUAGUAAAAUCAGAAGUCUUACUCCGGUGUAAUCUUCUCUCAGUUAGGAUGAAGUGUUUUAAUUAGCCUAAUGACAUCCGUUCACAGGAAAAGAAUCUUUCCAAAAUAAAAACUUAGAAAAUGGCAACUUAUUACUUGCCGUUGUAGUGGGAGGAUAUUUCAAUGAGAUUCCACCAUGGUAUGUUCUGGAUAAUGUUCCCUGUGUUUUAUCCCAUAAUUGUUUUGUUUUGUUUUGCUUUUUAAACAUAAAGUUGAAAAUCAUUUCACAGACCAAGACUCAGUUUAAUCUGCUGGUACUUCAUGCAGGUGGAUUUGCAAUUUUUUUUUUGCUUAACGCUACCAUACAGUGAGCAAGUGUUUGUAGUGGAAAUUUGAGUCACCUUCUGCUUGUUGCCAGGUGAACAUGUUUUUAUUCUGUUUGCUCUCAAACUGAAUUUUCAACCAAAGGAUGUAUUACCAUUUAACUGGAUAGCCUUACCAGACACCUUGGCUUUUAUAUUAGAAUUUUUGAGAGGGAGGAAUACUUGCUGGGGUUACUGUACCAUCUGUUGUAAGAGCAAGUUGAAGCUAUGAAUUCUAUUAACGCAUUGAACAAGACCUGUUUGUUUGUGAUCUUUAUUUAAAGAGAAAAAAGAAACCUCCUUCGUCUUUCUUGUCUCAUUGUCUUUCUUAAAAGCAUAUCUCAUAAAUAGGUGUCACUACAGGUAUGCAGAAACAUUUUUUAAAAUAAAGAUGACAGUGAUGGGGUGGUGCUAACUGCAGAAACAACACUGUCAAUAACUGCUGGGACAGAAGAGAAGAGGUGGGAAGUUCCUGUCCAAAAGAAGUCUGCUUUAUUUGGGUUAAUAUAUGCUCAAGUUCUUCUGCUUCUGUUCAUUGUGAAUUCAGGUCUCAUAGUGUAUGUAUGUUUUUUUUUUUUUUUUUUAAAAAAAAAGGUCCCAUUUUAUCUGUUAGCUUUAAAUAAAGUUUUCACUUCAAUUCUCAAGUAUCGUUUUUGUCCAGUUCUUCAGCCUUUUUCUGUUUAAAAGGAGACCUUGUAUAUAUUAGCACAUCAUUUGAGUUUUGUGACAUCUUGGCUUUUAACUAAUAUACCCAGCUGAUUUCAAAUCUUGUAACUGGGUCAUGAACUAAUGACUAAAAUCUCAGGAAGCAUCUGUGAAGCAAGUAUUGAAGAAGACUCGUGGAUUACUUUUUUUUUUUUUUUUCUCAAAUCUUCAUAGCCAUCAUUUCACUUCUCAUUCUAUAACAUUAUAUCCAUGAAGCUUUUGUAUUUGUUGGGAGGAAAUGACAACACUUUUCCAUUUGAUUUCUUUCAGAAGGUAAUUAUGUGAGUGAAGAAUAAUAGAGAAUAAAAAAGAUGACAUGUUCAGAAAAUUAAAUCUAGUUGAUGGAAAGUGUUCUUUUCACAGGUGUUCUUUUUUCCAAGGCAAGUGAGCUUUGUUCUGCUACAUAGUUUCUUGAACGUAAAUUACUCUGGAUGAAAAAUCGUGUUUUUUGCUGUCUUAGAUUAAAAGAAAAAAAAAAAAAGCGUUUCUAUGACACUGAUCUUCUGAGAUGAUCAGAAAAAGAAGAAUUAAAAAAAAAAAGAAAAAGAAAAAUGAAAAAUGGGUUUUUGUUUCUUUACUCUUUUUGUGUAGACAUCUAUUAGGAAUUAGCAAAAGCAUGUUGAAAAAAUGCAGCUCAUGAGUCUACCGUUGUCUUAUAAAGAACAUUCCUGCUCGAGGAGGUAAUAGGAUGCUAAAAGCCACCUGCGAUGUACAGAAUUGCCCUCUUUUGCACAAACUGGGGAGAACUCUUUAAUAAAAAAUCAGUAAUGUCUGGUAUCAGUUAGGACAUGCAUCCUCUAGAUGAUUUAUGGCAAUAAUCCUCUUUGCAACAAAACACAGGCAAGAUUGUUUCUUCUGCAAGUACAAUCUAGGAGUCCACAAGAAGUAUCCUUAAAUAAAAAAAGUGGAUGUUCUGUUUUUCAGCAUGGUUUGUGUAUGGCAUAAGUUGGGGGAGGGAGGUGGAGUUUAGUUUGUGGACGGUAAAAGUGGUUUAUUUCGGUAUGGUCUGGAGGUAAAAUCUAGGCCUACUGAGGUGAGAAUUUUGCAAUCAGAUCCUUUGUGAACCCCUGUUUUUCUGGAAUAUGUCACUCCAGCUAAAAGCAUAUUAAUCACAUAACAUCCCCUCCACCCCCCAAAAAAAAAAUCAUAAUCUGGGUAGUGAUAGUCGCAUUAUAACGUGAUAUACAAGGGAUACAAGACUCAUUUAGGUGUAACAGCAUAGAAAUUUUCACCUAACAAAAGCUAUUUAUAUUACCAGGAUAUAAAAUGUGAAGGCAAACUAAAAUUUCUCAUUUAAUUCAUCUUCCCCUGUAAUGUUCCAUAACUAAGAACAGAUGUUUGUAUUAUUUUCCAUACUGUAGGGAAAAAAGGCUCUCUUUUGCCCUCAAGUUAAUUUUCUUGAUUUUAGGCCAGUGUUUUCUCUGCAACAAAAGUGUGAUCAAAGUGUGACUUUAUGGAAUCUGACUGCAACCUUAAAAAUGGACUGACUGUUGUCAUCAUGUAAUUGAUACUGCCCUGAGGGAUGAGUUUCUGCUAAGUUGCUGCCCAAAACAACAAUAAGUUUACUAUGUCUCUCUGUAUUAAAUUAUAUUUAUAUUCUUCCAAUAUUCCCCUUAUGGUCACUUGGCUGUUUUUUGGUUUAUAUCAGAUUUCUACAUGCACAUCUUUCCGUUUUGCACAUUAGAGAUUCGGUUUUGCAAGUCUGAUGUUUAUGUUGGCUACCAGCAUCCUAUGAAGCCUAGUAGUGUCAACCUUGCAUGAGGUCUGAAGAGCUGCCAUUUUGCAUAAUACAUGGCACAUUAAACCCUAUAGAGUUUAUUUUACCAAGAGAUAUGAUGGCUUCCUAAUUCAUAAACAGCUGUUUUCUUACUGCUUGCUUCAUGUUUGUAUUGUUUUAAAACUUCAUACAUUGUUAUGGAUAUACUUACAAUUCUUGAUGAAGUUGAGAAUUGAGAUUUUGAAGAUAAAAGACCAAAAUUUCUCCAAAGAAAAAUAAUAAUAAAAUGCUAACCUCAUUUUGUGUUAUUGUGGCUCUUUUUUAUGACAGUUAAUCGUGAAUUGUUGUGCAGUUUCGUGAAUGAUCUUUCAAUUAUUAAAUAUGUACCUUGGACUUAUAUUGCAACUGUAGAAAUGAGAAAGUGCAUUAAUAGUAAAUAGCCUGCUUUGCACUACCUAAUAGUAUUAUUCCUUACUGUGGUACAAUAAACAAAACUUAGUACGUAAUUUCCUAUUUCUUCAGCUUUCUUACCAUUUGGGACUAGCAGAUAAUGCUUUUCUGGAUGAAGCAUUUUAGGUGACAAGUGUGCUACUUAAGUGAUGUAACUACAGUAGCAAGCCUUUUGGUGCAAUUGUAUCAUUUGACUAUCUGUAUCAUUAGCAUGAUGUAUUAUCAAAAGCUGUUUUCAUGGUGUAAACUGUGUUCCUACUACAAGGCGAUAUGGCUAUUCUUGUAGAUUUUCCUUUUUCCCCAGUAAACAUAUUACAGAAUAAUAGCGUGUCAGUACAAACAGUAAAUGAAACUAAUGAAAGAAUAUGAAAGAGAAAAUGGUAUAUAGAUUUUCUAGGUAAACAAAAGUACAAGACACAUUAUUAAAAGUAUACUUAAAUUUAUAUGGUGAACUUAGAAUAUUGCAAGAUACUCCAAGCAGAGCAGGAAAAUGUUGCAAAUGAGAAACUAAUGAAAUAGAAGAGGGCAUUAGUGGAAAUAACUCAUUUUCCUACAUUACAUUUAUUAUAAUUAGAAUUAAUAACUGCAUUUCAAUUAAUUUUCAUUAGUCUCAAAAUGCCUUGGAUGUAAACAUAACGAAUGUAAGUGUUUAACUGCAAGAAAAAUGAGUAUCAGGAAAAUAUCCAAAUUAAAUACGAAAGGAGUAAAUGCAAAUCUGAACUUCUUAGUUAUUUCUGAUACAUUGCAGUUAUUAAACUUGGGGUUCAUUGUGCCAGGGAUCAAAUAAACAUGUAAACAAAACAUAGUUAGAGAUUACAAGGGGUACUGCUAGAAGACUUCCGUGCUUUAGAGAAAGGGAUCUACCUCUUCCAUUUUGCUUACAAGUUAAUGCAGAGGAAAAGGGUAGGAGACUGGUAUACACAAAAAUAUGCUAUGAAAUAGACAACUGUGAUGCAAGAGGAUCAUAUGUAAACCUCCAACAACAACAAACGUCUCCUAUCAGUAACUGAAUGAGGGGAGCUGCAUUAUAAUUGUUCGGUAUCGAGCAGUUCCAGUUGUUGUCACUUUUCUAUGUGAAAAAUGGUGAAUAUUUGGUUUCCUUAAAACUUGCACAGUUAAGUGCCUCAGAAGGCUCUGUGGGGUAGAUGGCUUUUGAAAUUCUUUAAGUGUGCUUUGUCUGAGCUUACACAUGCAGUUUCCAAAGGACAAGAACUAAGUCUGCAUCUCCUGAGCCUUGUCUAGCCUUCUGAGCACAAAGCCAACCCUUACUUCAGUCACUAAUGUAUCACUGUACAGUAGGAAGAUGAGUAGGAUUUGCAGAUCAUUGUAGAUCUCUACCUGCAUAUGAAUGCACAGAGGUUCAAAGGCUGUAUGAAUGCAUGUUGUGUAUACUUGAGUAGCCCCCAAUGCCCCCCAGAUGUACGCAUGUCAAGACCAUUUGCAAGAGUUAGAAGGUAUAUGCCUUAUGGUGUCUGUGUGCAUCUGCACCUAGAGUUUUGUCUUUCACAUCCAUUUACUGCUGCUCGUCUGAAAGCUUUGGAAAAGUGACUUGCUUAUAAUUGAAGUGCCAAUAUCUGUUAUAACUGAACACUGGCUGAGGUGUUUAGAAAAAUAGAAGAAAGGCAGCUGUUCAGUUUUGCCAUGGGUAUGACCUCUUCCCUGGUGUCGAAAUCCCUCUUAGUUACAAGUAAAAUAUGCAGCUACACAACCUCACGGUUUACAGGUCAUCCUUAUUCCUCAGAAUGCAUCUUGCUUCAAGGAAGGAAUGAAGUUUGAACAAUUUCAUUUUUUCUUUCUUAAGGUCCGUUUCUGUGUGUAGCUUUAACAGAGAGCUUUAGGUUUGACUGAAGCUCCCAGUGUCAUACAUAAAUGCAAAGUGUGUAUCGUUUUGAGAUGUAUAGCUGAGAGCAAAUAAAUGCUUAGAUCCAAGUAAUUAAAAUUUGACAAGGUAGUAAACACUUAAAGAGUUGAAGUGAGGGUAUGUGAAGUGUUUUGGAUGCUCCGAGUACACAUACUGCUAAUUCUGCAGUGUAACAGUGGAGUAUAAAGAUGAAUACAUAUUUGUACUGAAAGCAGGGACAUGACUGAUCAACAUAGUUUGCCUAAUGCCUAUCUUUUCAUUUGCAAAUACUACAGCUAAUUUUAAGCACACAUGAGCUGAAGUCCCUGUAAGUUGGGCUAAUAACUUUUUCGGCCUUGUCCCUUGAGCUCUGUAGGGUAAAUGGAAAGACUACAAAUCUGCUUCACUUGCCCGACAUCCAUACCUGGCAGGGCAUCCCCAUCUGAUUGCUCAAGGCUAAGAAAAACUAGAAAGCGGUUGAGAUAUUAGACAAAGCUGUUUAACAUGAAGUGUAAUUUCUUUUCCUGUCUCAGGUAUAACAAUUAAUAAAGCAGAUGUUGUAGUCUGAUAUUUUUGAUGGUGGAAAAAAAAUCUCAGUGGUUUUAGUUAUGAGAUAAAAUAUUGGUUGUGGUUUUGAAUACAUUAUAAACUGCAACUAAAAAAGACAAAAGAGUAGCUUUUGAUCUAUUCUCCAGAGCUCUCAUCCUCUCUCAGGUUCUGCUUAUGAUCCCUUGGUCUCUUCCUUUUCACUUGAAGCUCCAUUUCACUUGAAAUGUCUAAGUACUAUAUGACGUGCUUCAAUUACAAUUAUGAAGCAUAUUUGCAAUGCAAAUAAGAAACAGAAGCUAUAAUUUCACGGGGAGAAUUAAAAAUAGAUGACACCAAUUAAUGGUUGCAUAUGCACAUAGGAUCUGGAAGGUAUUUUAAGUACCUUUUUCAUUAAUGUAUUAAAUAGUAUAUUGAAACUUCUCUAUAAUAAAGCAAUCUGAAUUGAAGCUAGCCAGUUACCUGCAACAGCUUUGGAGUUGUAUUCAGAACAGUUAGGAGCAGGUUUCUUUCUUUGGUAUGCAAUCUGUUUGUUUCUCUGCCAUAAAUUGCCUUACAUCCAUUCUGCUUAGAACCCUAGCUGCUUAAUUACAGUCUUUUCCUCUUUCUCUGACUUCAUGAGCAGUCUAAGUUUAAUUCUUUCUUAAGGGAAAAAUAUUUUUGUAGCAACCAACAGCUUUAGACACAUUUUUGUAAGAGGUCCGAGGAUCACUUAUUUGGCACUGAAGAUAUAUCUAACAACUAUAAUCUGGAUUGAAAAUGUAAAGCUGCCGAAGACUUAGCUCAUUUUUGGAUGUUGAUGCAUGAUUUUAGAAAGAUCGAAUGCCUUAUUCCUUGAAUGUUAUGGAGUUGUCCUUUGGCUACAGUUAUAUUUGCAUUAAGAUUUGCUUUGGCAUUGAAAUGUAAGAAUCUGCAAUAAAUUAGGUUGGAAGGGGUCUCUGGAGAUCAUCCAGCUGAUUCCUACCUGAAGAAAAGCUAACUUAAAAAUCGGGUGAGACACAGCAGAGCCUUAUACAAUCAAGCUUUAAAUUCCUGCAAGGACAGAGACGUGCAGACUCUGGGCAGCCUGUUCCAGUACUUAAUCACUGUCACUGUGAAACUUUUUUUCCCCUCAUUUCUAGUUGUAGUUUCUUUUGCUGCAACUUGUGAUUCUUAGACUUACACACAUCUGCACACACACCAGCCUUGUAAUCUUCAGCUUGAACAAGUGCUGCCCCCUUUGCUUCUCACAAUGAACUGUUAUCCAUUUUCCUAACCACCUUGUUAGGCCUGAAUGCAAUUUGUAGUUUAUUUUUCUUUAAGAAUGGGUUAUUGUUGCUCUAUUUCAUGUUGAGAUGAAGAGCUUCUGGAGUGUGAAACUCCUGGAAUUCAUACAACUUCUAGGUUACAAGGGACAUAGUUUAUAUGUGGGAAACAUUUUUUGUUGGUGUUGUUUUGUUUUGUUUUGUUUUGUUUUGUUUUGCUCGAGGCUUUUCUUAGCCUUUCACUGUAAGGCCUUGGUCUCCUGAGUCUUCACUGUCUUGGCUAAGUCUGAAAAUCUGCAGCAGGAGACUACAUAGGAUUGAUUUAUCUGGCAUGGUCUGCAGUUAGAAAGACUUGUUGAUGGCAUGAUUAAAAUAGUACACUGAUCAAUACCAUGGUACCUGAGACCUAUCUAUGCUAGGUACAUCCUUUAGAUUAUUUUUGUUGCAGAAAUAAUAAUUGCAAUUCUAUUCUUGCUGUGGAAGAGUUGGUUUCUGGAACGUAGAACAGACAUAAAUUAAGGUGUUAAUCAAACUAGCUCUGAUAGUAGGAGAAAAUAUUAGUAUGUAUGACAUACAGAGAAGGAAGCAGAAGGUUUGUAGCAGUAAUAGCAAUCCUCUUUCAAUUGCAGUUCUUUGUAAUAUGGCAUUUAGUAUUGAAUACAACAUCUAAAGUAUAUUUCUAAAGACAGUGUAUUAAACAAAAGUGUAAAAAUAAGCUUUGAACAUAAAUGCAUCACUGUCCAUACCUAGUAGUUCCCUCAAACGUGCUGAGCAAUGAGACUGUUGAGACAAAGAUAUGAAAUCAUUAGAAGCUUUGUAACAACUCUUCUAAGUGUCAUUUUGUUAUUCUUUAGAAAAAAGAAUUAAUAUUUGAUUAUAGAUCUUUAAUGGCUGGGAAAGAUGCUCAGAAACCGCAGUUCCUUGAGCUCGGCAGAACAGAAAAGAGCAGGCACCACAAGAAUAACAGGCAGAGAGUGGUACAAAUAUCUGUUCAAGACAACUAAACAAAGCUCAGAGGUUUGUCCAUAGAAAAUGAAGUAAAUAUCAGUAUGCUAGGAAAAAAAGGACAGAAUUUCCAAAAACCUUAGGGUCAGCAAAGAUAUGCACAACUCUCCCUUCAUCCCUUUCUGUUCCUUCUCUAUUGCUGAUAUUUAUUCCCUUGCCUCUUCUUAAGGCUGCUGGAAACUACCAAUUAGCCUCAUUAGCAUGCUCUCCAGGGAUUCUUUCUGCACAGUUGUAUUUCCAUGUGAGCUGUCGGCUGUGAGAAUGUGAGGUUUCCUUAAGCAGACUUUUUAGCCUCUGGACUGUCAAGUGAGUUGCAUGUCUGACACUUGAACUAAUAGGCUACAGAGUUCAAACAUCCGGAUUAUUGUACGUGCGGGUUAGGUGGCCCCCAGCUGUUUAUGGAUUGUUCUUGCUUUAAAUUUGAAUCAGGCCUGCGGAUGAAUUAACUCCUCCUUUUCUCAUCUCCCAUUUUUGACAAAGUUGGAUAUUUCUGUUCAGCCUUUGCUGUAUUUAUGAAGACACUCCCUUCUUCUCACAUCUAGUGUGCACUAAAAAGAUUUAGGCAACUCUCCCAAAAUGAACUGGAAAAUAUAAAAAUAGAACUGAAUCAGAGAAAAUAUGAAAAUGGCACAACUUUUUGAACAGGAACAUCUGUAAGGGCAUAGCUUUACCAAUUAAAACAAGACUACAGGAAUCUGUCCAGCAGCCAGGCAGAACAGCAAGUAAAAUAAAUUCAUCAUUCUAAAAACAAAAGGACUUCAUACAUGCUCAUCUUCUUUAUGAGGAUUCAUCAUCAAGAAGCCAUUGGACAAGUUACUAGCUGCAGCUUGUGACUUUUUAAACUCUAUUAGAAUAGUUAUGUAUGUAGCCAGUUGUGGAUCCUGGACUGUAAUGAGUAUUUCUCUCAGAAAUGCCUCCUUCAGAUCACUUGGAUUUAGGAAUUGUAAGGUCCGCCUUGACCUGUCUUAAAAAGCACAUUGAACCUAAGAACCUAAGCUGUGGCAUGUCAGAGAACUUUUCAUUACUGGUUUGGGACAUGGCCAAGAAUCAUAUUUGCAUGAACUAAUUUGUAAAGCUUUGUUCAAAUAUUUUGUAUUUUUACUAGAAAUUAUUGCCCACUUAGAGGGAGAGAGUGUUGGGUUUUUCAUGGGUAUCAUUUUCUUCUUUCUGAAUCCUUAAGGAAACCAAAUCUAGAAAGUUUCUGGAGGUUUUUCAAGUAAGUAAUCUUUCAAUUUGUUGCUGUAGUUUGUCUAAAAAGAGGAAAAAUGGGGAAACAAGGAUAUGCAUCAAAUCUUGAUGACAAUUGUGGAGCCAGAAGGUGCAUUGGAAUGAGCAGAUCACUUGAAGCACUGGCUGAAAAUGUCCCUAAGGCAUAUCUCUUAUUAUUGCUGUAGACUUCUGUGCUUUCGAAAUAGGAAAUUCUAGAGAGAGAGUCAGAGAGAGAAGUUACUCAGCAAAUUGCGUGAAUUAGAGUAUUCAGUUAAUAAGAUAAAGUGGAAGGAAAGUUGUCUACUCCAGAAUAUAGGUUUGUUGCUGGAAAUCCAUUAAAAUCAGGAAUGUUUGGGUCAUCAUAAGUCAACAUUCAGAGGCCAUAUUCAACUUGCACUACAUGAGGCUUUGAGGAACUGCAACUGUUAGAGGCAAACCAUUCUCAAAAUGGAAAAGUAUUCACCUAAAUUGCAUGUGCAUACUUAAUGUUCCAACCAAUUUUAAGAGGUUUAAACAUAGAUACAGCUCUGGGGAUUUUUUUGAAUAUUUAUUUAUUAUUAUUUUUAACUUAAUGGACAUCUAAAUGACAUGGUAUAAGCUGUCCUUGAUUUCAUAUGUGGUCAGGUGAAUUCUCCUUCCUUCUUUUGUACCAUAUUUCAGGGGCUUGCAAUCUUCCCCUGGAGUUGAGGAAGGUGGGAAGAUCAAGUCUCAAUUGCAUCCUUUUUGUCUUUAAAAUUUGAGAGCGCUCUGUUCGUUUUAAACUAGUUUUAGCUUUUUACUUGUAUUUUUAUUAGCUAUUAGAAUGUUGUGUACAAGGAAGAAUGUGGCUCAAUGUCUUACAUUGAUUUUUAUUAGUAGCACUCAGAGGUACAAACUGAAAUUAUGCUGUGCAUUUCCAAGAGUUUAUUGUCAUUUAUCACAGUUCACUUAGAUCAUCAAUUCCUUGAAGCUAAGGGCUAUCUUUUUGUUGUUUGUGCAGCCUCUAGAAUAAUGAGAUGGAGCCUCUAGGUGCUACCGCGAUGCAAAUAAUCAUAGAUCAAAGUUCAGAAGGAAUUCCUGUUUCUGUGUCUAUGGUAUCAUCGCAUGUUGCCAUGGCAAGUGUGUGAUACUGCAAGUUCAACUGUAUCAUGUUAGUGAUGGACAAGUGAGGUAGAAAUGGGUUUAGACAAAAAUAAACUUCGUUCACAAAAG